rnacentral:tRNA from 1 species
GGAAUCGUGCCCGAACUUAGGGAUUAUUGUGAUAGAAUAAACUACAUAGGUUAAAACCCUAUCGAUUCCU